rnacentral:snRNA from 1 species
AAAGUGACCAUUGGAGCAUC